rnacentral:snRNA from 1 species
GGAUGUGAGGGCGAUCUGGCUGUGACAUUUGUCACCCCAUUGAUUGCCAGGGUUGAUUCGGCUGAUCUGGCUGGCCAGGCGGGUGUCCCCUUCGUCCCUCACAGCUCCAUGUGCGUUCCUCCCGAGUUGCAACUUGGUCGAAGAGGACGACCAUCUCUGAUAGAGGAGGACCGUUCUUCGGUCAAGGGUAUACGAGUAGCUGCGCUCCCCUGCUAGAACCUCCAAACAAGCUCUCAAGGAGUAUGGAUUCUUCUUUCUACUACUUCCUGCAGUACCUGUCUCACCUGCUUAAAAGUCUGGCAGUUAAGGACAUAGAUUUGUCUAGGAUCUAUAAACAAUUAGAAUAAGUUUGUUU